rnacentral:lncRNA from 10 species
AAAAUCCGCGCCGGGGACAGUCAGGGAUGCUCCCAGGCCCUUCGCUCUUGCUUUCAGCUAGUCAUUGUCGAGCGCCGCCCGUGACAGGCGUUUUGCCAAGCCCUGGAGUUACUGAAGUGAACAAGUCCCUGGUCUCUCGGGACCCAUUGCCGGUUGAAACACAUCCCGCCUCCUCUUCCAGUCCUAGAGGCCGCCUCCUCCGGAAAGCCGGCCUUGAUUGCUCCUCAUGUAGGACGCGGUUCCCUCCUCUGAGAUCCUGCAGACUCUCAGGUGCUCACACGUGGGUGUGCAGCGGAUUCAGCCGGCAGCUCUUUAAAGCGGCAGGCAGAUGGAAAUUCGAGGCCAGCCCAGCCCCGGCGACUGCGCUGCGGACGGCCAGAGGCCAUCCUUUGAGAAACACCCGUGGAUUCUUACCCUGACCUCUGCAUACCCUGAGAAAGAACGAACGUGGCAGCCUGCGUCUGCUUGUCUAUGUCUUUCAUGUUUGCUAACCUAAGGGUCGAGAAGCGGCUCGAGGAGACCAGGCUGCACAGACCGUCACGUCCAUUCCCUCUCUGGCCCCAGCCCCGCGGGAAGAAAACGAGGGCGUUCAGCCUGGCAGUUCAUUCACUUAUUAGGAAGAAGACAUCCCACACCCCCACCCAGCACACACACAGAUGUCAGGGACCAGCCACUAGGAACCACUCCCUGAGCGAAUGAAGGCAUCCCCGUAGCCACGUGCCUGGUACAUCACAAGCACUCAAAACGUGGCUGCCACCUUUCGAAAUUGCAUGCCCAAAACUUUAUGAGAUCCUCACAACACACUUGGGAAACAGACAAAAGAGUUUGAAUGCCCGCCUACUUAACAGAUACAGAAAAUGGUGUUCCGUGUACAAGCGACUUACUCAUGUCUGCUGGUAACUCAUAAUGUGCCGUUUGACCUCCUUAGGACAUAAUUAAUAAUGGUAAUUAACAGUGCUACGAUAUGCCAGGCAUUGAGCUUAGCGCCUUAAAAGUCAUAGCUAACUAUGUUUCACAGCAAACCCUCAGAGGCAAAUGUGACCCGCCUCCUACGCAGGAGGCAACAGAGGCUCAGACAUGUUAAAGAAGCUUGGCCUGAGUCUCCCAGCAGAGAAAGGGCAGAGCGUGUAGCCCUGACAACGUGCUUAAUUGCAACUCCUGUGGGUCCCAUCACAACUCUCUCUUCCUAUGUGGUGUCCGCAACAUUAAUACAUAGAGACACCGAGGAGCCUCAGUUCUGCUUGUGGGCGGGCCUGUCUUUCACCAGGCUGGCAAAAGCAGUGCAAACAUCAUUUUGGAGGUGAUAAAAUAAAAUCUCUCACAGAGGUUGGAUGUCCUUUCCGCCUUUCAUGGAAGCACAGUAGAUCUGCAGAGUGUUUUAUGCAAGUAGACUUGGUGCCAGUAGUGGAAGUGUGUGCAGGAUUCUGUUACCCAGCUGUGCUCAAAACAGAGCCCAAGUCUCUCCGAUGGUCAGCCUGGCACGGCCCCCAGAUGGUAACGAGACGCCAGGGACAAUCUGCCAGUGGCAAUUUUAGAAAGCAGGUGGUGCUAGGAAGGGCAUUCUCUUCAGUUCCAUGUUUUCAAGUUAGAAGUGCCUCAGAGCAUUUACCCCCAGCUCCUUGAGGGGGUGAGGCAGAGGAUCACUUGAGCCCAGGAGUUUGAGGCUGCAGUGAACUAUAAUGGCACCACUGUACUCCACUUGGGCGACACAGCCAGAACUCCUCUUUGAAAAACAUAAUAAUAAAUAAAAAUAAUAAAUAGUAGUAAUAAGAGACCCCUUAGAAAAAAUCAACUGGCUCUUUUAUGAAAGGAAGAUGCUUUCAGAAUGAAUAGCUAAUGCAUGUGGGGUUUAAUACCUAGGUGAUGGGUUGACAGGAGCAGCAAACCACCAUGGCACACAUUUACUACCUAUGUAACAAACCUGCACAUCCUGCACAUGUAUCCUGGAACUUAAAAUAAAAUUUUAAAAAAAGAAGAUGC